UACGUAGGGGGCUAGCGUUGUCCGGAUUUAUUGGGCGUAAAGAGCGUGUAGGCGGCCAGAUAGGUCUGCUGUGAAAACUCGAGGCUCAACCUCGAGAUGGUCGGCGGAAACCGAUUUGGCUAGAGUCCGGAAGAGGAAAGUGGAAUUCCUGGUGUAGCGGUGAAAUGCGCAGAUAUCAGGAAGAACACCCGUGGCGAAGGCGGCUUUCUGGGACGGUACUGACGCUGAGACGCGAAAGCGUGGGGAGCGAACAGG
rnacentral:rRNA from 1 species